rnacentral:misc_RNA from 1 species
GAUGAAGAACGCAGUGAAAUGCGAUAAGUAAUGUGAAUUGCAGAAUUCAGUGAAUCAUCGAAUCUUUGAACGCACCUUGCACCCUUUGGACUGCUCCAAAGGGUAUGCUCGUUUGAGUGUCAUUGUACUCUCACACUCUCUGAUCCUUUGGAUUUGGGGAGCAGUGGACUUGGGUGCUUGCUGCUUCCUUGUGGCUCACCUGAAGUGCAUCAGUGCAUCUCUCGAUUGGACAUAGUACGGCGUGAUAAGUGUCUUCGCCGGCACCUCAUAUGAGGGUGGCCGAUCGGGAGCUCUGUGCUUUCAAACCGUCUUCGGACAACGCUGACAACUUGACCUCAAAUCGAGUAGGACUACCCGCUGAACUUAAGCAUAUCAAUAAGCGGAGGA